rnacentral:ncRNA from 2 species
ACUUUAGAUAGAGGUUGCGUAUUCAAUGAGUAAUUCUGCGGAUGUGUCAGGCACAGGAGAAGCAGAAUGGAAGGUGAAUAUGCCGAAAGGUUCGGUCUCCUGAGGAUCGGAUGCUUGGGCAUAUAGUUAAGAGCUAUAUGACUGUCAUCGCAGAUGGGGCGCUAUCAGUUCA